UGCUGCAUGGCUGCGUCAGCUCGUGUCGUGAGAUGUUGGGUUAAGUCCCGUAACGAGCGCAACCCUUGUCCUUAGUUACCAGCACGUUAUGGUGGGCACUCUAAGGAGACUGCCGGUGACAAACCGGAGGAAGGUGGGGAUGACGUCAAGUCAUCAUGGCCCUUACGGCCUGGGCUACACACGUGCUACAAUGGUCGGUACAAAGGGUUGCCAAGCCGCGAGGUGGAGCUAAUCCCAUAAAACCGAUCGUAGUCCGGAUCGCAGUCUGCAACUCGACUGCGUGAAGUCGGAAUCGCUAGUAAUCGUGAAUCAGAAUGUCCACGGUCGAAUACGUUCCGGGCCUU
rnacentral:rRNA from 1 species